CGCUAGACGGGAAGGGGGCAGGGUGGACCUGCCAACCGCCCCUGGCUCCGCGCCUCCUCGGCCUCGCUGGGGUGACAGCGGAGCGUGAGGCUCCGCCCGAGAUGUCCAAAUCUGCCUCUCCUCGGCUCUCGCACCUCUCUGUCUGUACUAUUUUUUUCCUUCCCGUCCUUUCUUUUACGCUUCAUUACUUUCUCUUCCUGUUCUACUGGGCCCCUUCCUGGCUCACUGAUUUCUGACGAGUUAAUUUCAGGGAGAUUCAGAGGAGGGAAGCUACAGGCGGAGAGUAAGUCUUUUUUUUUUUUUCCGGUUUAGGUUCCUAGCAGGGAUGGAGGAAGAAACCUAGAGUCCGUGUUUCUGACCACAUUCUGCUGUUGUUAGCGUCGUCGUCGUCACUACCUGGCUUUCGACAUUUUCCUGCUCUUCCAGAGCGCUCUCGAAAUCUGGGAUGAAGACACUGAGAAAGAAGAAACAAGCAUACAAUUCACAUCUAGAAUUCUGCCAAUCAAUGUCCAUCCCUCUUCUCAAAUAUCAGGCAGUGAUUCAGAAUUGUAACUCAUGAAGAAUGCAUCUACUAAAGAGGGAUUGUGGUCCAGAUAGUCCAAAACAGUAGAACAUUACUCUGGGAAGAAGCUCGACUUCAUCAUACUGCUAAAGUGGUCUAUGGCACAAAAAGAUUUAAGUCCCUACAGAGGUUCAUUGGUUUUCUUAUCAUGGAUAUCUAUUCAUCUCUAAAAGAUAAAAGCAUUGCCCAUCUCCUCAAUAUCUUCCAAGCCCAAGAAAAGUGAAAGGACCUAUUAUGUACAAAAAUACAGUAGCUCUUUUUGUGGUGACAAAAGAACUGGAAACUGAGAAGAUGCUCAUCAAUUGGGGAAUGGCUGAACCAGUUGUGGCAUAUGGAAUAUCAUUGUGCCAUAAGAAAUGACAAGCAGGAUGGUUGCAGAAAAACGUGAAAGCCAUUUAUAUGAACUGAUAUAAAUGAAGUAAGGACUACAAGAACACUAUACAUAAUAACAGCAAUAUUGUGAUGAUGAUCAACUGUGGAAAACUUAGCUAUUCUGAUCAAGACAACUAUCUAAGAUAAAUUUCAAAGGACUCAGGAUGAAAAUUGUUAUCCACCUCCAGGGAUAUAACCAAUGAAUUUUGAGCACAGAUUAAGGUUUCUUACUUUAAAAUUUUAUUUAUUUGGAUUAUGGUUAUAUGAAAAAGUGUUUUAUAUGACUUCACAUGUAUAAUUGACAAAUUGUUUGCUUUCUUAAUGGUGGAGAGGAGUUGCAGGAAAGGAGAGAUUUUAUAACUCAAACUUUUAAGAAAUUAAUGUUAAAAAAUUACAAAAAAGAAAGAAAUUUUGUAUCCAGCAAAAAUAAUUUUGUCAACAAAAAACUAGAGAAUAAAAUUUCAAAACAUUA